AGUUUGAUCCUGGCUCAGAUUGAACGCUGGCGGCAUGCCUUACACAUGCAAGUCGAACGGUAACAGGUCUUCGGAUGCUGACGAGUGGCGAACGGGUGAGUAAUACAUCGGAACGUGCCUAGUAGUGGGGGAUAACUACUCGAAAGAGUGGCUAAUACCGCAUGAGAUCUACGGAUGAAAGCAGGGGAUCGCAAGACCUUGUGCUACUAGAGCGGCCGAUGGCAGAUUAGGUAGUUGGUGGGAUAAAAGCUUACCAAGCCGACGAUCUGUAGCUGGUCUGAGAGGACGAUCAGCCACACUGGGACUGAGACACGGCCCAGACUCCUACGGGAGGCAGCAGUGGGGAAUUUUGGACAAUGGGCGCAAGCCUGAUCCAGCAAUGCCGCGUGCAGGAUGAAGGCCUUCGGGUUGUAAACUGCUUUUGUACGGAACGAAAAGCCCUGGGUUAAUACCCUGGGGUCAUGACGGUACCGUAAGAAUAAGCACCG
rnacentral:rRNA from 1 species